rnacentral:misc_RNA from 1 species
GCUUGACAAAACCCCACAAGUCUGCAAAUGCAAGCCAUGAGAAUCCAGACCAAGCGCCAUCUGACUUGGUAAUGAAAAUGUACAACAAUUGGCCUAUAACUAUAAGCCACCAUGAAGUGUUGAGGGUGAUUGCUGCUCCAGUUAAGCCCCAUCCAAGCUUCAGUAUUAGCAACCAGCUGAAAACUGCAUGCAACACCAGUACCACAGCAGACACCCAGGCCAUUACAAACACUUUCCUCUGUGAUUGCAAAAACUUCUGUAUGGGAAAAUUCAUUGCAUAUGCAAACAAUUGUGGAAGCAUCCACAGAGCAAAUUUCCCUGCAGCUUCAGAUAUCUGAGUAGUCUCUCCAAUGACUUCCAGAAUAGGAGGAGACCAAACAUAAAUUGGAACCAAUAAGCAGGCAGUGGUCAACAGAAUGACCCAUGAUCUCUGCAUAUAUAUGCCUAACAUUCUCAGCUGCCCCGCACCGUAGGCUUGCCCACAAAGCGUCUCCAAUGCACUACCCAUUCCCAACAUGACCCCGAAGGCGAGACCGGCAAUAACCGAGUUCUCAACGGAUACAGCAGCGAGCUCAACCUCACCAACAAGACCAGCAAAGGUCUGAGUAAGUGCACCCAGUGAAUACUGGCAAAUGGCAGUAAAGAUCGCUGGUCCUGCUAGCUUCCAUAGCCUCCUGGACUCUUCCCCAAAAUCUCUAAUAACGCUAAUAUGCUUUUGCUCUUGACGGCCACCAUUGGGAUUGCUAUCGAGAAGAGGAGUAUCUAUGGCCAUGGAUCACUUGUGCUUGCUAAAGCUCCUAGUCUGCUGCUGUCCUUGCAAUAAAAAAGAAUUGCUCUCAAUCUACUGCGAGUAUUUAAGACGUAAAGAAAAGGGGUUUAUCAAUAAAGAUUCUAUGAUGAUCUGUAGUUCUUAG